AGAGUUUGAUCCUGGCUCAGAUUGAACGCUGGCGGCAUGCCUAACACAUGCAAGUCGAACGGCAGCACAGCAGAGCUUGCUCUGUGGGUGGCGAGUGGCGGACGGGUGAGUAAUGCAUCGGGACCUACCCAGACGUGGGGGAUAACGUAGGGAAACUUACGCUAACACCGCAUACGUCCUACGGGAGAAAGCGGGGGACCUUCGGGCCUCGCGCGGUUGGAUGGACCGAUGUUCGAUUAGCUAGUUGGUAGGGUAAUGGCCUACCAAGGCGACGAUCGAUAGCUGGUCUGAGAGGAUGAUCAGCCACACUGGGACUGAGACACGGCCCAGACUCCUACGGGAGGCAGCAGUGGGGAAUAUUGGACAAUGGGCGCAAGCCUGAUCCAGCAAUGCCGCGUGUGUGAAGAAGGCCUUCGGGUUGUAAAGCACUUUUAUCAGGAGCGAAAUACUAUCGGUUAAUAACCGGUGGGGCUGACGGUACCUGAGGAAUAAGCACCGGCUAACUUCGUGCCAGCAGCCGCGGUAAUACGAAGGGUGCAAGCGUUAAUCGGAAUUACUGGGCGUAAAGGGUGCGUAGGCGGUUAGUUAAGUCUGUUGUGAAAUCCCCGGGCUCAACCUGGGAAUGGCAAUGGAUACUGGCUAGCUAGAGUGUGUCAGAGGAUGGUGGAAUUCCCGGUGUAGCGGUGAAAUGCGUAGAGAUCGGGAGGAACAUCAGUGGCGAAGGCGGCCAUCUGGGACAACAC
rnacentral:rRNA from 1 species